GGAGGCCCUCCCCAUGGCUGGGGACAGUCACAGCAGCUGCAGACAGAUGAUGGGAGGGAGCAUUCUUUCCCUAACCCUAGAGGCGGGCGAGCAUUCACCAAGUGUUGUUGUUAAAGAAAAAAAGAAAGAAAAAGAAACCAGGAUUGUACCUGAGGUCAGGCAGACAGUGCUCAACUCAGCACUGGGAAGAUUGCUAGAAGCCUUGGGCCUAUCUAGGAAGACUGGGCCAACAUGCGAUCCCCUCUGCAAGGUGGAGGCCAUGCACCUGCCUCCUGCUCCUGAGCUCCGGUAUCCUCACUGUGACCCAGGCCCCACUGCAGCAAAGAGACACUGGGAAUUAGCCCUUCUGUCCCCUCCUUGCCAGAAGCAGGAGGCCACUGGAGGCUCCAAGGGCUCUGAAAUGUUGAGAACUUCCCUGCAGGUACCAGCGAAGAGGGCAAGAACACAGCACUACUUCCUUGGAUACUGUUUCCCUCCUCAGAGGGGUUUUCUGAGCUGCCCUGGGUCCUGUGAGGAAGAUCUCCCCUUCCUGUAAAGACACCAGUCCUACUGGAUCAGGGCCCACCCGUGUGACUUCACUUUUACUUGAGUACCUCUCACAGACCCUAACUCCAAAUCAGGUCACUUGCUGAGGUACUGCAUGUGAAGACUUUGACAUUUGAAUUUUGAGGGGGCCACCGUUUAACCUGAACCACCAAGGACAGAGCCAAAGACCCUGGGUGACAGGCCCAGAACAGGACCUGGUGGAGGCUCUUCUUUAGGGGAGAGAGGGAAAUGGGAGCCACCACUGGCAGAGCCUGAAGGCAGGGCAGCCAGAAAGAAGCUGUGGGAGUCCCCACCAUGGAAGACCCUGCCGAGCAUCCUGUGUCUCCUGAAGCAGACCCUGACAUGAGGACUGGGGGCACGUGUUUAUUAAGGGCGAUCCCCGGAAGGAGGAGAUAACCAGGCAGAAGUCCUAGCAGAGUAUGCCCACGCUGGUUAGUGCUGCUGCAAAGAUGAGCCGAAGACCAUGAGAGACCUCCAGGUGGUCCUUCUGGGGAGAAGAAAUGGGUUUUGGCCCCAAAUCCUUCUGCUGCAUUUUUCCCCUAUCCCUGGGAAGCCAUGAGACCUCAAACCUGUGUUCCCAAGGAGGCGAGCUGCUGUUCCCAGGUGAUGAUAUGAUGUGCUUGGGGAAAGUAAGUGGCUGCCAGACAUGGCUGAGAGCUGUUGUCACUGCCGUCAAGUGCAUGUCUCCAAGCCAUAUCACACGGCGUCCCUCGAUGUGAGGCCACAUGGCAAGUGGGCCGUGGAUCUCCCUCUGCCCUUUGCAAGCACGUAAGACAGCAGAUUUUGCAGAUACCUUGUGGCGCAGGGGAAUUUCCUUUGGCCAGGUCUGAAGAAAUAAAGCAGCAGGCACCGAGAACAAAGCCAAGGCUUUCAAAAGACAAGGAGCCAAAAAACUUACUCAAAAUAAAAGUAGUUUUAAAAUGUCU
rnacentral:lncRNA from 1 species